rnacentral:rRNA from 1 species
AGGACGAACGCUGGCGGCGUGCUUAACACAUGCAAGUCGAGCGAGGCCCCUCCUUCGGGAGGGUGUCCUAGCGGCGAACGGGUGAGUAACACGUGGGCAACCUGCCCUCAGCUCUGGGAUAACCCCGGGAAACCGGGGCUAAUACCGGAUACGACCUCCUUAGGCAUCUGAGGUGGUGAAAAGUUUUUCGGCUGAGGAUGGGCCCGCGGCCUAUCAGCUUGUUGGUGGGGUGAUGGCCUACCAAGGCGACGACGGGUAGCCGGCCUGAGAGGGUGACCGGCCACACUGGGACUGAGACACGGCCCAGACUCCUACGGGAGGCAGCAGUGGGGAAUAUCGCGCAAUGGGGCGAAAGCCUGACGCAGCGACGCCGCGUGAGGGACGAAGGCCUUCGGGUUGUAAACCUCUUUCAGCAGGGACGAAGCGAAAGUGACGGUACCUGCAGAAGAAGCACCGGCCAACUACGUGCCAGCAGCCGCGGU